rnacentral:rRNA from 1 species
UUGAUCAUGGCUCAGAUUGAACGCUGGCGGCAGGCCUAACACAUGCAAGUCGAACGGUAACAGGAAACAGCUUGCUGUUUCGCUGACGAGUGGCGGACGGGUGAGUAAUGUCUGGGAAACUGCCUGAUGGAGGGGGAUAACUACUGGAAACGGUAGCUAAUACCGCAUAACGUCGCAAGACCAAAGAGGGGGACCCUCGGGCCUCUUGCCAUCGGAUGUGCCCAGAUGGGAUUAGCUUGUUGGUGGGGUAACGGCUCACCAAGGCGACGAUCCCUAGCUGGUCUGAGAGGAUGACCAGCCACACUGGAACUGAGACACGGUCCAGACUCCUACGGGAGGCAGCAGUGGGGAAUAUUGCACAAUGGGCGCAAGCCUGAUGCAGCCAUGCCGCGUGUAUGAAGAAGGCCUUCGGGUUGUAAAGUACUUUCAGCGGGGAGGAAGGGAGUAAAGUUAAUACCUUUGCUCAUUG